AGCGAACGCUGGCGGCAGGCUUAACACAUGCAAGUCGAGCGGGCAUCCUUGUGGUUUCAGCGGCAGACGGGUGAGUAACGCGUGGGAACGUGCCCUUCGAUUCGCAAUAACUCAGGGAAACUUGACCUAAUACCGGGUACGUUCGAGAGCAGAAAGGUUUAUCUGCCGAAGGAUCGCCCCGCGUCUGAUUAGCUAGUUGGUGAGGUUACGGCUCACCAAGGCGACGAUCAGUAGCUGGUCUGAGAGGAUGAUCAGCCACACUGGGACUGAGACACGGCCCAGACUCCUACGGGAGGCAGCAGUGGGGAAUAUUGGAGACUGGGGGCAACCCUGAUCCAGCCAUGCCGCGUGAGUGAUGACGGCCUUAGGGUUGUAAAGCUCUUUUCUCCGGGACGAUAAUGACGGUACCGGAGGAAUAAGCCCCGGCUAACUUCGUG
rnacentral:rRNA from 1 species